ACGGGGGGGGCAAGCGUUGUUCGGAAUUACUGGGCGUAAAGGGUGCGUAGGCGGCUUUUUAAGUCGGAUGUGAAAACUCUGGGCUCAGCCCAGAGACUGCAUCCGAAACUGGAGAGCUAGGGUUCUGGAGGGGAAAGCGGAAUUCCUGGUGUAGCAGUGAAAUGCGUAGAUAUCAGGAGGAACACCGGUGGCGAAGGCGGCUUUCUGGACAGAUACCGACGCUGAGGCACGAAAGCUAGGGGAGCAAACAGGA
rnacentral:rRNA from 1 species